rnacentral:rRNA from 1 species
UACGUAGGGCGCAAGCGUUUGUCCGGAAUUAUUGGGCGUAAAGAGCUCGUAGGCGGCUUGUCACGUCGGGUGUGAAAGCCCGGGGCUUAACCCCGGGUCUGCAUUCGAUACGGGCUAGCUAGAGUGUGGUAGGGGAGAUCGGAAUUCCUGGUGUAGCGGUGAAAUGCGCAGAUAUCGUGAGGAAGACCAGUUGCGAAGGCGGAUCUCUGGGCAGUUCCUGACACUGAGGCACGAAGGCCAGGGGAGCAAACGGG